UUUCGGCUCGUAAAACUCUGUUGUUAAAGAAGAACAUAUCUGAGAGUAACUGUUCAGGUAUUGACGGUAUUUAACCAGAAAGCCACGGCUAACUACGUGCCAGCAGCCGCGGUAAUACGUAGGUGGCAAGCGUUUGUCCGGAUUUAUUGGGCGUAAAGCGAGCGCAGGCGGUUUUUUAAGUCUGAUGUGAAAGCCUUCGGCUCAACCGAAGAAGUGCAUCGGAAACUGGGAAACUUGAGUGCAGAAGAGGACAGUGGAACUCCAUGUGUAGCGGUG
rnacentral:rRNA from 1 species